GCGGCCGUAGUCUAGCCUGGUCUAGGAUGGCGGCCUGCCGUUCACGAUUAUAGGUGAGCAGUUAGCCGCAGAACCCGGGUUCGAAUCCCGGCGGCCGCA
rfam:Vulcanisaeta sp. JCHS_4 scf1118686606625, whole genome shotgun sequence.